UCCCGCUGAGAGUUGGCUUGGUUUUUUCCCUUUUAGCCUUCUGGCAUCCCACAGAAUUUGGCGUCUGCAGGCUAAAAGGGGAAAAAACGAGCUGGUGCUCGGCGGGA